rnacentral:sRNA from 1 species
AGGGUUCGAUUCGAGCGCAGCGAGAAAGCGUUGCCGCAGGCAACGACCCGAAGGGUGAGGCGCGAAGCGACGAAUAAUCCUUCCCCCGCCACCA